rnacentral:misc_RNA from 1 species
UACGGAAGAUCCAAGCGUUAUCCGGAAUUACUGGGCGUAAAGAGUUGCGUAGGUGGCAUAGUAAGUUGGUAGUGAAAUCGUGUGGCUCAACCACACUCCCAUUACCAAAACUACUAAGCUAGAGGACAAGAGAGGUAGUUGGAAUUCCCAGUGUAGGAGUGAAAUCCGUAGAUAUUGGGAGGAACACCGAUGGCGUAGGCAGACUACUGGCUUGUUCCUGACACUGAGGCACGAAAGCAUGGGGAGCGACCGGG